UGGUAGUGGGUCGUGACGUCACACAGCCACAGAGAAUUGGCUUUGUCCUCCGGUUCAGACAGACGAGACUUUUCCCUUAAAACUUUUAAUCCUAAAGUUAAUUUUUAUUUGUACUAUGAGUAAUGUACCCGCCCACAAUGGAGUAGGUCUAGAGCAGCAGUUUGCUGGUCUAGGCUUGGAGGGGCGAGACCACACUGGUCCACGUGGCGGUGGGCGGGGGGGUCGAGCAGGAGGCGGUCGCUACAUUCCCCCCCACCUAAGGAAUCGCUUAGAAGAGUGUCCACCAGAUACUUCAGAUAGGAAUUCUAGGGACGGUUUCAGUGGUUCGUAUGGUUCACGGGCACCUCAGGAUUCUGGUCGUGGCUGGGACCAGGACAGAGACCCAUACGGCUACCCUGGGAGGAGGAACGGAGACAUACAGUCCAAUAGCUUCCAGCGAAGGGAUAACAGAGGUGGCGGCACCGGGGGUUACAGGGGAAAUGAUGGAAACCGUUUCAGGGAACCCGAUGACAGAUGGAGAGGAGGACGUGAUAACAGAACUGAAAACCGUGCACCCUAUGAUGAAACUAGGAGAGAGGGAGGUGGUGGCGUUAAUGGUCCCCCAAGAAAUAACAGAUGGAUUGAAGAUGAACGUGAACGUUCAGGAGGAGGAGGAGUAAAUAAUAGCCGUUGGCAAGAGCGUUCAAAUCAACAAGAUGAUUGGUCUCAGCCUCUCGCAAGAAACGAAGUUCUUGAGGCAGAACUUUUCAGUAAUAGUGGUUCUACGUCAAACAGUGGCAUAAAUUUUGACAAAUAUGAUGACAUCCCAGUUGAAGCUACUGGGGAGGACAUUCCCCCAUCAAUCAACUCAUUUGCUGAUAUUAAGCUAACAGAGAUCAUCAGACAGAAUAUUAGUAUGGCCCGGUAUGAGAGGCCAACUCCAGUUCAGAAAUAUGCUCUUCCUUUUAUUCUUAGCAAGAGAGAUCUGAUGGCUUGUGCCCAGACAGGUUCAGGAAAGACUGCAGCAUUUCUUGUACCUAUUUUGAAUCAGAUUUAUGAACAGGGUCCAGUUCAGGUCAAGAACAAUAACCCCCGUGGCCGCAAUAAGCAAUAUCCCCUUGCCCUCGUCUUGGCACCAACUCGUGAGCUGGCAACACAGAUUUACGAUGAGUCACGCAAGUUCUCUUAUAGGGCACGAGUGCGUCCAUGUGUGGUAUAUGGUGGUGCAGAUGUUGUGGCUCAGAUGAGGGAUCUAUCACGUGGUUGCCACUUGCUUGUUGCAACCCCAGGUCGCCUGGCUGACAUGAUUGACCGUGGAAAAGUUGGUCUAGAUUAUGUCAAGUUCUUGGUACUGGAUGAGGCUGACCGUAUGCUGGACAUGGGUUUUGAGCCUCAGAUCCGGCGUAUUGUGGAAGAGGAUAACAUGCCUCCAACUGGUCGACGUCAGACCCUUAUGUUUUCUGCCACUUUCCCAAAGGAAAUUCAGCGACUAGCACAGGACUUCCUGGACAACUACAUUUUCUUAGCUGUUGGCCGUGUUGGGUCUACAUCAGAGAACAUUACACAGAAGAUUGUUUGGGUAGCCGAGGAUGAUAAGCGAUCUUUCCUCCUGGAUAUUCUGAAUGCGGCUGGAUUAGAUCGACUCAGCAAUGCCAACAAGGAUAAUAAAUUGGCCAUCGUUGCACUCCCUCCACAAGAAGAAUCCCUCACUUUAGUGUUUGUGGAGACCAAGAAAGGUGCAGAUGCCUUAGAAGAAUUCUUAUACCGACAUGGUUACCCUGUCACCAGCAUCCAUGGAGAUCGCAGUCAGCGAGAACGAGAAGAUGCUCUCAGGGUGUUCCGUUCUGGCCAGUGCCCCAUACUAGUUGCCACUGCAGUCGCUGCUCGUGGUUUGGACAUUCCACAUGUAAAACAUGUCAUCAACUUUGAUUUGCCAUCAGAUAUAGAGGAAUAUGUUCAUCGUAUUGGUCGAACUGGACGUAUGGGUAAUUUAGGUCUUGCCACAAGUUUCUUCAAUGACAAGAACCGUAACAUGGUUCGUGAUCUUGUGGAAUUGUUGCAAGAAGCCAAACAGGAAUUACCCAAGUGGUUGGAAGCCAUAGCUUCCGAGAGUCGUUGGGGUACUGGAGCCCGUGGACGCACUGGCGGAAAGCGCUUUGGUGGUGGAUUUGGAUCUCGUGAUUACCGCCAGGCUGACCGAAGCAAAGCUAAUCAUACUACUGGUCCUGCACGGCCUGGUGGAGGAUUCAACAGCUUUGGAGGUGCUGAUCUAACUAGAAGAUAUGAUAAAUAAAGAGAUGGAGGAAACAUUAGCAGUCUGAAAAAGGUGACUCUCUCUCUCUCUCUCUCAUACUAGGCCAAGAUUUACCACUGCCCCUCAUUUCAACCACUAUGGGAGCUAUGGAGGCUUCAGCGGAAAUAGUGGUUAUAACAACUACAACACUUCCGGGGCCUCAGGGACUGAUUGGUGGGGUAACUGAGCGCUGGUAGCGGGAGCUUGGGCACCUUGCCACCUUGUGCAAAACUUGUUAUAUCUGGGACCCUACAAUUAGUGGAAGUGCAGUGUUUGCUUUUCUUAGUUUAGUUGGGGGAAGUGUAACUACCACCUCCUCCCACUUGUUAGUUUGUAAGGUCAUUUUUGCCUUCCCCCGGCAAGAAGUGUUUGUUGAUUCCGUAUACUUUACAGACCGUAAGUGAAACUUUCAGUGAAAAUAUGCUUGAAGCUGGAUACCAUUAUCAUUUGUUAUUUUUAUUACUUAUAAUUCUUUUCACUGACAGACAUUUUCCCAUCAUAGUGUAAUUGUCUACUUGAUAUAUUGACAUAAUUUUUCCAUGAAUAGUGUUUCAUAUACUCGUCCCCAGAAACAAGUGACCACAAAGUGGCAUAGAAAAAGUUUCAGCAGCAGUCAAACUUUUAAGUGUUGUCAAUGUCCAAACCCUGCUGACUGUUUAUGAAGAUAAUGAACCACAAUAUUGCGGGGUUCUCCUUAAGCUUGAAAUUUUCUUAUGUCACAAGCUUGGAACUUUGUCUUGAAUAUGUUGACCUUGACCGAAGAAGGCUCUGUCUUGAUGUUAACUGCUAGAAAAUCUGCAUCACAAACCAAAUAGGACUUUAUUUUGAAAAAGGACUUUUAUAUUUUAUAUCUUAUUUUUGUGUGUGUGACUUUGCAAUCAAGAGGAGGGCCUCAAAAUAAUAAUAGUAUGGUCCCGCCUCUUAUCCAUUUUCAUGGGUAUAGAAUAACCAUGAUCUACUGUGUAGCACUGAGGAUUGUAAGCCCUUUUUAAUAUAAUACAUUAUAAUUUUUUUCUUUCUGAUGUAAAGGUGAUGAUGUAGAGACAGGUCAGAUGUGUAACAUUGUUUUACAAUCCCUUUGAUCCUAACUGCCAAGGUUGGCUGCUGUUAACUUUUGUGUCUGGAUAUUUAAAUGUAGCGGUGGUGUUGCUGGGUGAGAUCAGAAUGAACCUCUGCAUCUAUUGUAGUGGAGGAGAAGAGGAAAAAGUAAUAAGAAUAUUGUAAUUUAAGUAAGAAAUCAUUGGACCACCCAGGCAACAGCAACGUACACACUGUUGCGUUCAUUAAGGUAUUAUAAUAUGUAGACUUCUGUAGCAUGGCUUUUGGGAAGUUUGAGUAUUUGAUAUUUUGCCGUCCCUUUUGAUUGUAGCAUUGAGGAAGCCUCUGGAGCAGCUGUGAUGAAUAUCACUCAAAAAAAUGAUGGCUCAGAAGAAAAAUUUGAGUAACAAAAUAACCUGUCAGAAUUACAUUUGAAUUUAGCCCAAAUAUAUACUGUUAUGUUGUUCUUUAUUUAUAUUUAUAUAAGUAGAUUAAAUAUUUAGAGGAUUGAUUCCUCAAGAGGCUCUGCAUGGAUAUGUCUAUGUCUCUCCUUCUGGUUUUGAAGACCCCACUAGUUUUUACUUUAGUUUGGUUGGAUUUGGGUGCUGGUUGCAGCAUCCUCUACACAGUAGCGGCCAGAGCCGCAACACAUGGCCGCAGCAUCACUCAAGCCUGGUCUCAUGAAGGCAGUGGCUAGCAUGUUGCAGUAAUGAUCCAUCCCUGAGUCAUACAAAUCACCUGAUUCAUCUCAGGGCUUAGGCUUAUCCAGUGUUCGACAAAUGUGUUCUGUCUGGUGAUGUCACAGACUGGGCAGGGAGGCAUCGCUGAGAGAAGUACCAGCGGUGUAUUAAUGCAUCUCUUUACUAUAAUUAUAUUGUGGCACAUUGCAGCCUUCUUAGGUGUUAAGUCAAACUGCUUGUAAAUUACAAGAAGGCCAUGUGUACCUGUAUUAUUCACUUUGGCGAACACUGCCGUUAUUACUGUGAUAUAGUUUGUUGCCCGCGACGAGGCGGGUUAUUGGGUGCGGGGCCAGGUUUGGGUUGUGGCAGAGAACGCCCCCGGCAGAGGGCUGCCAGCUCUUCCCUGGCAUAAGCUAGCAGGGUUGAAGCAGCAUGUACUGAUAGCAGUCAAGGUACAGCCCACAUUCCACUUUUAUCAUCAUAUCCUCCACAAAUGGUUAUAGUUAUAUAAUUUUUUGUAAUCUCAGUCAUAGUCUGAGCAUUGCCAAAGAUAUGUUAGUUUGUAUGUUCAUGUACAAAUGUCUUUAUUUAGUGAUCCAUAUUUGUUAUUGUAGAUGAUGCUGCAUAAGCAGACACUGCUUAUGCUCCCUCAGACUAACUCUAGUCGGUGAUGGCGCACUGUUCCUUUUUUAUAAAACAAGCAGGAGUGUGUGUGAGUGCAGUAAGAAUUUGGCUCCUGGUUCCUAGUGAACAAAAUGAGUGCCCUUAGAUCUGACUGUUAGGGCAUUUUCCCAAGCUAAUGUUUCUGCUCCUUGUAACACGGUGCUAGAAUUAACUGUUUUAUCCAGGAGCUUUUGAUCAGGUACAAAGUUAGCACAAUGAUCUGUUAGAGAUAUUUACUGUGUUCAAAACUAAUCUGGUGAUUUUUUUUUUUUUUCAUUUUAAGUAUAAGCACAGCUCCUGCAGUGGGAUGCUGCAUUGCAUUGUUAGCUAGGGUAUACAGUAUGAAUAUACAUAAUAAAUUGUGCAAAAUUUUAACUGCUCAUGGUACAAUGAUUUGUAGGUGUGUACAGAUGUGGAUUUUAUGUAACUUGCUUGUUGGUUAUUAGCCAAAUGAAUAUUAUAGUUAUGAUUAUAUAUGUAGAAUUAUUGAACCAACAUGAAUGUCACUUUUUGAAAUGUGUGGAUAUAUAGGCAACUCACAAAUGGGUUGCAUUGUUCUCUUGCAACUGCUGUCAACCACCACAAACCAAUCAAUACUUCAGCUUUAAUGGUAUAACAACAAUAGUAGUCCCAAAAGAGACUUGUGUAAUAUCUGUUAUACUGCUAUUUUGGCUUGGUUGUCAGCAGUGGUAGAAGGGAGCCGAGAGGGAUCUUAAACUUUCCACCAAGGAAGAGCAAUGUCAUCUUCCGGGCCCUGCGAGAGCUUUAAUCAUUAUUAGCUCUUCCGGGAGGGUCAGGAAGUGGUCCUCAUCAUUUCCCAUGGAAAGAAAAGUGUACCUAAAAUAUUGGGGAAAUAUACUGGGGGGUCUCUGCGCCAGAUAUUGUGUAGAUAAAAUGUACUGUCUUUUUAUACAAGAUUAUGAAAUAUUUUUUAUUUCUCUCAUUUCUAGAAAUUAAGGAGAGAUUCACAUUGAUAGGGAUGGCAAAUUACAGUCUACUACUAUACUAUUAUUAUAUUCACUCUGGCAUUUAGAACAUUUAUGAACUAGAAAAAUGUAUUCAAAGCUUUAUCAAAGUCAAAUAAAAAUUGUAAAAUAAA